UACAUCGGAAUCUACUCUGUCGUGGGGGAUAACGUAGGGAAACUUACGCUAAUACCGCAUACGACCUACGGGUGAAAGCAGGGGACCUUCGGGCCUUGCGCGAUUGAAUGAGCCGAUGUCGGAUUAGCUAGUUGGCGGGGUAAAGGCCCACCAAGGCGACGAUCCGUAGCUGGUCUGAGAGGAUGAUCAGCCACACUGGAACUGAGACACGGUCCAGACUCCUACGGGAGGCAGCAGUGGGGAAUAUUGGACAAUGGGCGCAAGCCUGAUCCAGCCAUACCGCGUGGGUGAAGAAGGCCUUCGGGUUGUAAAGCCCUUUUGUUGGGAAAGAAAUCCAGCCGGCUAAUACCUGGUUGGGAUGACGGUACCCAAAGAAUAAGCACCGGCUAACUUCGUGCCAGCAGCCGCGGUAAUACGAAGGGUGCAAGCGUUACUCGGAAUUACUGGGCGUAAAGCGUGCGUAGGUGGUCGUUUAAGUCCGUUGUGAAAGCCCUGGGCUCAACCUGGGAACUGCAGUGGAUACUGGGCGACUAGAAUGUGGUAGAGGGUAGCGGAAUUCCUGGUGUAGCAGUGAAAUGCGUAGAGAUCAGGAGGAACAUCCAUGGCGAAGGCAGCUACCUGGACCAACAU
rnacentral:rRNA from 1 species